GGCUGGAUCACCUCCUU
rnacentral:rRNA from 1 species